GACAGAGGAUGCAAGCGUUAUCCGGAAUGAUUGGGCGUAAAGCGUCUGUAGGUGGCUUUUUAAGUCUGCCGUCAAAUCCCAGGGCUUAACCUCUAGACGUCGAUGGAAACCGUCUGGCUAGAGUCCGGAAGAGGAGAAUGGAAUUCCUGGUGUAGCGGUGAAAUGCGCAGAUAUCAGGAGGAACACCGGUGGCGAAGGCGGGUCUCUGGGCCGAUACUGACGCUGAGGAGCGAAAGCGUGGGGAGCGAACAGG
rnacentral:rRNA from 1 species